rnacentral:rRNA from 1 species
ACUGCAUUCGAAACUGGCAGGCUUGAGUCUUGUAGAGGGGGGUAGAAUUCCAGGUGUAGCGGUGAAAUGCGUAGAGAUCUGGAGGAAUACCGGUGGCGAAGGCGGCCCCCUGGACAAAGACUGACGCUCAGGUGCGAAAGCGUGGGGAGCAAACAGGAUUAGAUACCCUGGUAGUCCACGCCGUAAACGAUGUCUACUUGGAGGUUGUGCCCUUGAGGCGUGGCUUCCGGAGCUAACGCGUUAAGUAGACCGCCUGGGGAGUACGGCCGCAAGGUUAAAACUCAAAUGAAUUGACGGGGGCCCGCACAAGCGGUGGAGCAUGUGGUUUAAUUCGAUGCAACGCGAAGAACCUUAC